CGUCAGGACGAACGCUGGCGGCGUGCCUAACACAUGCAAGUCGAGCGAGGAGAUCCUUCGGGAUGAUCCUAGCGGCGGACGGGUGAGUAACACGUGGGCAACCUGCCUCAUAGAGAGGAAUAGCCUUCCGAAAGGGAGAUUAAUACCUCAUAACAUUGCAGUUUCGCAUGGAACAGCAAUUAAAGGAGCAAUCCGCUAUGAGAUGGGCCCGCGGCGCAUUAGCUAGUUGGUGAGGUAACGGCUCACCAAGGCGACGAUGCGUAGCCGACCUGAGAGGGUGAUCGGCCACAUUGGGACUGAGACACGGCCCAGACUCCUACGGGAGGCAGCAGUGGGGAAUAUUGCACAAUGGGGGAAACCCUGAUGCCAGCAACGCCGCGUGAGUGAUGACGGCCUUCGGGUUGUAAAGCUCUGUCUUCAGGGACGAUAAUGACGGUACCUGAGGAGGAAGCCACGGCUAACUACGUGCCAGCCGCGGC
rnacentral:rRNA from 1 species